ACAGUGCUUGCUGAGAAGGUGAACACGAUGUCCCUCACAGUGCUGGGACUACGAAUGCUGUUUGCUAAGAGCAUUGCCAUCAAUUUUCUCUUGACUGCCAAGUUAUUUUUCUUCUAAGGCUGACUGGCACGAGGAAGCUGCACUCCCAGGAGGAAACCAAAAGCUUGCGAAGACACUGUCUCCUAGGCUUCAGCCUUAUUUAAACAGCUGCUAAUCAAACCAAUUUCCCGUUAAAGGCAACAACCCCACUUCAUUCUUAGCCUGGUAGAAAACAAAAGUCCUGGGAAUCGGAGUUUAUGGUCCUAACUAUUUUACAUGCUGCUUUAUACAGUGACGGAAAGAUAUAAAAAAUAUAUAGGACCUAUUUUAUUUUACUCCUACACCUGAUACACUUUGAAAAUGAUCUUUCAUUCCAUUUUUACUUUCUUUAAUUCAACAAAUAGAAAGAGGGGAGCAACAGGUCACCAAGUCCAUUCCCCAUGAGGAAAAUAGGCCAGGAGGAGGAAAACUGGUGUCCCUUUACCUACACAGGGAAGGCUCUGCUCAGCCCAGCACUAGAUUUGUCCCAAACCAGCAUCCUUGUGUUCCUCUCCUGUGGUUUACCCCACCCUCUAUAUUCACACUAGAGAUUUGACAUGGCAGUAAGGGGUGGAGGGCCAAUUUCAGCACUUUCUGCUUUUCCUGGUACUUUACAUUUGACUUCCCUAAUACUCUCUAAGCAGGCAAUGAGG